rnacentral:lncRNA from 1 species
CUAGUAGUGUUAGUUAAAUACCAUGCCAUAAUGAGAUGCCUCCACAGAGCGACCGAUCGACUGCUUCGUGCGGCCCGGGAUUGGGGUUCAACAAGCUGCGGUGGGCUGGGUGGUGCUGCAUUGGGCCCAGUGAUAUGGGCUUUUUUUUUUCAUAUAUGCUCCUUUUGUGGAACUUUGCUGGGCCGGUGCUACAACCGGUGUAGCACCACACCCAGCUCCCUAACUGUGCCUAAUUGACGGUGUAACUAACAUGUCAUUAGGAUAGGAUGAAAGUGAGGCAGAGGACAAGGAGGCCUGACUCCGGUUGUUAACGUAGUAGAGUCAGGGCGAGGCGGUCAGGGUCGCGUGGGCGCCGACGGACGAGGGCACAACGAACUGUGGGGCGAUCCCCCGCGCCGCCUGCCAAUCCGAAACGGACGCCACUCCCCGUUGGAUUCGUUCUUUCCUUUUAUCAGACAUGGUUUUUUUAGGAGCAAAUAGCUUUUUCUAAAACAACGAGCUGUCUUUAUUCAUUCAUGAAACAAGUAAUACAAUAUAUCGAUACAUGAACGAACACAAAACAACAAAAAUAUUUAAAAAAACAAAAAGUUUCAUUGUAGUCUUUCGAAGUUUCUCUUGAUCCACCUUUCUCAUCUUGAUGCUUCUCCACGUAUUCGUUGAUAAAAUUGCAGAUUAUCAUGCUUCAACAAGCUGAACUAAUUUCAAAGGUUUUGAAGAACCGCAUGAGCGGCCCACCUCAAAAGGUGAGAACUUAAAAUCAUUGAGUGCACCAUGGCCGGGGACAUACCGCUUGUAAGACAAGCUGUAAACUACAUGAAUCAACAAAGAAAAAGAUCAAAAACACACAAAAAACGUGUCGUGAGAACCACUGACUUCAUGGCAUAGGUUGAAACGCCUACACCAGAACGAUCAAGGAGCACACUAAUCUUUUAGACGACGAAGUCUCCAUCACCAAGAUGCCACUGAGAAAACACACAAGCAUAACAAAAUAAGGUAGCAAAACUAGAUGCCAGAUGUUGAUCCGUGGUUCCUCGUCCCUUGAUGACAGAUCGACCGUAAGAGACGAGAGGAACCGUCGGAGAUCUAAUUAUAUAAACUUUCUCGAAGACAGCAGCUAGGUUUAUUCUGUUGUUUCACGAAGCAGAUACGUGCAAACAUGUUUUUUUUUUAGGAAAAACCAUCGUGACACGCUUUGUUAUUAUGAAAAAUAGUUACGUGACUUAUCAUCGUCCAAAAACAAAACAAGUAUUAGCCCGAUGUGUCCGAAGCGAGUAUUAGCC